AGCAGAACACACACUGAUAAGCAGACAGCAGUGUGUAUGGUAUAACACACAAACAGGGUGGACCCCGGUCAGCUGAUCCACCCGUGAUCUGCAGCAGGACGGACGCCGGUCAUGGUGGUGUGACGGGUCUGUGUCAGGGGACAACAGGAAAGCAGCGGCCAGAGAAACAGCUGCUGUGUGUCUCCUCACGCUGAGAGGCGGGCAGGGGGCGGAGCAGAAAGAUGAGCGGAGAAGAAACCACCUGAGAUCAGAUGGUGAAGUCUCCUCUAAUCUCGACCCUGUGGGGCACAGAACCAGACGUCUCAUGAGCAGGCAAUAAAUUUUUUUCCAUUGUGGGUUUUUUUCUCCACAAGAGGGUUCUCCUGGUGAUCAAUGAAAUAUUCUGGGUGGUUCUAUAGAUGGGAGAUGGUCCAAACACAUUUCAGAACAUAUUAAAACCAGAACACCCUGCCUACAUCCUUCAUGCUGAUAUGUCCAGCU
ensembl:lncRNA